rnacentral:tRNA from 1 species
CCUCCUUAUCUUGAAGUAGAAUUGCUUAAUGGAAGUCUUCGGAUUUCACGAGUGUUCACACAAAUUGUAUGAUAAUGAAUUAGAAGAAACGAUAGGUCUGUAGCUCAGCUGGUUAGAGCGCGCCCCUGAUAAGGGUGAGGUCGGCAGUUCAAGUCUGCCCAGACCUACCAACUUAUUGCUAAAAUCAAUUGGUGGAUUCUUCUAAAAUAAAGAAAGAGACCAAACUUAAAACAUCAUAUUAUGAUGAGUUAGGUUUGGUUUUUACUCUCACUAGAGAGAUUAAUCACUUUUUUAACCGAAUGCGUGUUAAGAAUGAGUUCUUUAACAAUCUGGAAAGCUGAUAUAAAUAUCGGUAUUUAUAUGUUAAACACGGUGUCGCGCUGUUGUUCAUACGAUUAUAAAUACCACGCUGUUAUCUCAUUCUCUUAUCGUGAAUGGGCUAAUGGUGAUAGUGCGUUCUCCCAAGAACGUAUUAUCGAAUUCAUACUACUCGAAAGAGUAAGAUGUCUUAUCAAGUAACUCAUC